UUCAGCGUUAUCUGAAAGCUACACUAGAAGCAAUCGUCGAAGACAAGGUGAAUGUGAGGGGAUAUGCUGUAUGGAGUUUGAUGGAUAACUUCGAGUGGACCGCUGGUUAUAGUGAAAAAUUUGGUUUAUAUCAUGUCGACUUCGCUGACCCCGACAGAAAAAGAACUGCCAAGAAAUCUGCAGAGUGGUACAAAAAUGUGAUAAAGAAAAGGAGUCUCGUGGAUCUGUAGUUCACCACAUUUUAAUUUUUUUUCAAUAGUUCACCUGUUGAAUAGUUUAUAUUGUAAUAUUCUUUUGAAGCUACAGUCACGAAGCCGUUGAUCUUGGAUUUGAUAAUACAUAGUGAUAAAAUUAU